rnacentral:rRNA from 1 species
AACGAACGCUGGCGGCAUGCCUAACACAUGCAAGUCGAACGAGACGUCCGGGUCUUUUGGCGCACGGCGGUGUAACGCGUGGGAACCUGCCCUUAGGUUCGGCAUAACUCCCCGAAUGGGGUGCUAAUACCGGAUAAUGUCUUCUGCCCAAAGAUUUAUUGCCUUUGGAUGGGCCCUCGUUGGAUUAGGUGGUUGGUAGGGUAAUAGCCUACUAGGGCGAGGAUUCAUAGCUGGUCUGAGAGGAUGAUCAGCCACACUGGGGCUGAGACACGGCCGAGACUCCUACGGGAGGCGGCAGUGGGGAAUAGAGGAACGUGGGGGAAAGCAUGAAGGAGCCCGGACGCGUGAGUGAUGAAGGCCGGAGGGAAGUAAAGCUCUAUUAACCGGGAUGAUAAUGACAGUACCGGGAGAAUAAGCCCCGGCUAACUCCGUG